rnacentral:rRNA from 1 species
GACGAACGCUGGCGGCGUGCCUAAUACAUGCAAGUAGAACGCACAGGAUGCACCGUAGUUUACUACACCGUAUUCUGUGAGUUGCGAACGGGUGAGUAACGCGUAGGUAACCUGCCUGGUAGCGGGGGAUAACUAUUGGAAACGAUAGCUAAUACCGUAUAAGAACAUUUACUGCAUGGUAGAUGUUUAAAAGGUGCAAGAGCAUCACUACCAGAUGGACCUGCGUUGUAUUAGCUAGUUGGUGAGGUAACGGCUCACCAAGGCAACGAUACAUAGCCGACCUGAGAGGGUGAUCGGCCACACUGGGACUGAGACACGGCCCAGACUCCUACGGGAGGCAGCAGUAGGGAAUCUUCGGCAAUGGGGGGAACCCUGACCGAGCAACGCCGCGUGAGUGAAGAAGGUUUUCGGAUCGUAAAGCUCUGUUGUUAAGGAAGAACGUGUGUGAG